rnacentral:misc_RNA from 1 species
AGAGUUGGGUUAAGGAAUAGUUAGCCUUACUACAGGCCUCAGGGGCAUUAGGCUGGUCCAGGUCCUAGUGCCGGUCCGACACAUAGGAUGGGUCGUGACAGAGAAGGGGGGAAAUUGCAUAUUCCACUGUAUAUUUCCCUUACUUCUUCUUCUACUUCUUUAUCUUCCCCAUGUGAUUGUAUUUUCCUCUUAUUAAUUAAACCAAUGUGAUGAGAUUUAUAUAUACAUCAUGAGGUAUACUCCCUUGUCCCACACAUACGGCGACUCUCCUUAUAUAAAUUUCACUCGUUAAGCUGCAUGAUCUAUUUGCUAGUGUGCGAAAGGCUUGGAAAGAAAAAGAAAAAAAGAAUCCAUUUUAUGAGUCUCAUUGGCAUGUUAUGUAUUAGCUAGCAAUGAAUAAUAAAUUGAGAUUUGGAAUUGAAAUCAAGUUGGGGUCCAUGAUAGCUAGAUAUAGUAAACAAUAUGAAUUACAAAAUAUGGGCUAUCCCAAACAAUUUAUUUUUACAUCGGUUAAUAUUUAAUAGUAAAAAUUAAAAAAAAAAAAAAGGCUCACUUGGAUGAUUUGGUGUUUGGACUUCUAAAGUUCCAAGUAUUUGUUUUGAGUAUUUCUGUACUCGGCUUUAGUUAUAUUAGACAUUUUACAUCUAGCACAUAAUGAAGUUUGUUGAAAUGAAAAUGGUUAAUAGUUUUUAAUAAUAGGAUUAAAAUGUCUUAAUUAUGAUUUAAGUGUUUAUCUAUAAUUACUAAUCUUUAAUUGUCAAUCGCUAAUUCAUGCAUUAGGAACUAAGCAGCCCAUAAAGAAUCCCAAUCCAAAUAGGCCCAUACAAGAUAUCCAUUCAACUGUUUGGGCCCAAUAGAAUCCAGAUUGUUUCCGAAGCAAAAGCUCUUCCCCCCACCAGGACAGAACUUCCGUUUAAACCCUAGCAACAAGGGUUUAUGCUCUCGCGCCAGACCCUGAAAACAAAACCUUCGAUUCCCCAAUUCACACAUGACCUAAAUUUCGAUCUUUUGACUUCAUUUGAAAUCCUCACUCAAACAUCUUAUUCAUGUCUGCAUCUAAAUUAUCUUCCUGUGUAGCAGUUGCUACGGCUGCUGCUGUUGCCUCCUUGUCCUCGCUCCAAGACCGGGCCUACGCCGACGGGUCUUUUCGCUUCAAUCCCUUCUCUUCCUCCUCAUCUUCGUCUUCAAGUUCAUCUAAUUCUUCUUCGAAGCAGCAAGCGGACCACUCAUCAAAUGAGAAAGCCGAAGCCGAGGAGCCUAGGGGGGCGGGGUUCGAUCCCGAAGCGUUGGAAAGAGGCGCUAAAGCUCUUCGCGAAAUCAACAGCUCUCCUUAUGCCAAACAGGUUUGGUUUUUAAUUCUGGUUUUUCUUUCUCCAAUGUUUGAUUGCCUAGAAAAUGGUACGAACCGGAAGAAUCCUGAGCUUUCGAUAUUAAAUUGUGUAUUAUUUCAUUUCACGCAUAUGCCAACUUCACUUGGAUUGACCAUGUUAAGCAAUAUUCGUCCAAUUCGAGAAACCUUGCAUGUAAUUUAAUUUGGUUUGUAUUUUGUGUUUAUGGAGUAAUUGGAAAUGAUUUCAAAUUGCUUAUGAGUAACGCUGUUUUCAGGUUUUUGAUGUUAUGAGGAAGCAAGAACAAACUCGGCAAGCAGAAUUGGAAGCUGAGAAAGCUCAUUACGAAGCUAUUCAAGCUCAAGUUGACAUUGACAGGCAACAGAAAUUGGCUGAAGAACAACGAAACCUAGUGCAACAACAAGCACAGGCAAAGGCUCAAAUGCUGCGAUAUGAGGACGAACUGGCUAGAAAAAGGAUGCAGGUUUUUGAAGCCUUACAUUCUAGCCUUGUUGAAAAAUAAUUGGGAUUUGGUUCACAAAAUGCUUUUUCUUGUUAUCCAAUUGGUUUACAAAUAGUUUCACACUACAGAAGAAAAGACUGUUGAAUUUCUGAAACAGGGCCUGCAAAUGUUUUUUAGGCAUAUUUGUAAGCAUGUUGAAGCAACUGGCUUCAUGGUUCCAUCAGUGUAUGUGUUGCAUUGUUUGUUAAAAGUGAGUGAUAAGAUGACACAAACAAAUUGAUUAGUUGGCCCUUAGGCUGAAUUCUCCAUCUAAUUAUUCUUGCGUAAAAUUUACAUUGCAUAGUAAGCAGAUAUGUUUUUGCCUUCAAAAGUUAUAUUUUGUUGUCUUAUCAUUAUUUUCAGACAGAUCAUGAAGCUCAGAGGCGACAUAAUGUUGAAUUGGUUAAGAUGCAAGAGGAGUCUUCGAUACGAAAAGAACAGGCAAGACGAGCUACUGAGGAGCAGAUCCAUGCUCAACAGCGCCAGACUGAGAAAGAGAGAGCUGAAAUAGAACGGGAAACAAUAAGAGUUAAAGCCAUGGCUGAGGCUGAAGGCCGGGCCCAUGAGGCAAAAUUGACUGAGGAUCAUAACAGAAGAAUGUUAGUUGAACGGAUAAAUGGUGAAAGAGAAAAAUGGCUUGCAGCUAUUAAUACUACUUUUAGUCACAUUGAAGGUAAAUGACUACUUACAUGUUACUCAAUUCAUGGUUGUCUCACUGACAGGGCUGGUUGGCUGGUACGACUAAGUGAUAUCUUGGAUAAAAAUGGUUGUUUAGCAGAGUCAAAACCUGCUAAGUAAAUGCACCCCUUAGAUUAACAUGUCACCUUUCACAACAUGUGCAGUACAAUAUACCAUGAUAUCUUUUGGAGGACAUUAUUCAAACUAUCCAUGUGUAUUGUGUCUUGAUUAUAUCAUGUAACUAAGUUGCAUGUCAUUCUAUGGAAUGAAUGGACACUAACUUGAUUUGUCAAAUUACCUCCUGAGUUAUAAAAUGGGAAGGCUCUUGAGUUUGCAAAAUUGUGGCUUUUUCUUUACAAUAAUUGAAAUGAAUGUUUAAUUGAUAGUGCUCUUACUUCUUACAUUUCCAGCAAUUUUAUAACUCGUAGCAUGUUUUCUACAACAUGUAUUGUCUUCAAUGUAAAUUGCUUUACAGGUGGGUUUAGGACUUUACUGACUGAUAGAAAUAAAUUGAUUAUGACUGUUGGAGGAGCUACUGCAUUAGCUGCUGGAGUUUACACAACCAGGGAAGGUGCCAGAGUUACCUGGGGUUAUAUCAACCGAAUACUGGGGCAACCAUCACUGAUCCGAGAAUCAUCCAUUGUUAGAUUUCCAUUUUCUGGGGUAUUAUCUCGUGUAAGGAACAAUGUUUCCAAAUAUAGCACAACAGCUGGGACAGCAGUGCCUUUGGAAAGAAAGGGUGGCUUCAAAAAUAUUGUUCUUCAUCCUUCAUUGCAAAGGAGAAUAGAGCACCUUGGUAGGGCUACAGCCAACACUAAAACUCACCAGGCUCCAUUUCGCAACAUGAUGUUUUAUGGACCUCCUGGCACUGGUAAAACCAUGGUUGCAAGGGAGAUAGCUCGAAAAUCGGGUUUAGAUUAUGCUAUGAUGACAGGAGGGGAUGUUGCGCCAUUAGGUGCACAGGCUGUUACAAAAAUACAUGAGAUUUUUGAUUGGGCUAAGAAGUCUAGGAAGGGCCUUCUGCUUUUUAUUGAUGAGGCUGAUGCAUUCCUGAGUGAGUAAGUUCAUCAUAGUCUGAUAUGUCAUCUUCCUUCUUGGUAUUAAAAAGAUAUUCCUCCUGUUCAUGAUAUUUGAUAAAUUUUCAUAUAUGGAAUUGUAAGUUCAUCAAGGUCCCAAUUUUGACUUCAAAUUUUGGUCCAUUUUUCCUAUUUUCCUAUUUGAAUUUGAACUUAAACUAAGGAUAUGGCAGGUUUUGUUGGAAUAUGUGGGAAGUUCUGGAAAAGUUUGGAACAAUAUUAGUUCUUUAUUAGGCUUUGAAAAUCCAAAUUUUUGGCUUAGGAUCAUGGCUAGGAGUUUAGGCAACUAUGCUGACAGUUCUAUUACUGAUUUAAUGCAGGCGUAAUAGUACACACAUGAGUGAAGCUCAACGAAGUGCUUUAAAUGCAUUGCUCUUUCGAACUGGGGAUCAAUCAAGAGAUAUAGUUCUUGUCCUUGCCACAAACAGACCAGGUGACCUGGACAGUGCCAUCACCGACCGUAUUGAUGAAGUGAUUGAAUUCCCGCUUCCUGGGGAGGAGGAACGCUUCAAAUUGUUAAAUCUUUACUUGAGAAAGUACCUCUCUGAUGAAGCUGAAAAUGAGUCAAGUUGGGGCUCUUUAUUCAAGAAGAAGCCACAAAAGAUAACCAUUAAGGAUAUUUCUGAAGAUGUGAUUCGAGAGGCUGCUAGGAAGAUAGAAGGGUUCUCUGGUCGUGAGAUAGCUAAACUCAUGGCAAGUGUCCAAGCAGCUGUCUAUGGGCGGCCUGACUGUGUAUUGGAUUCCCAGCUGUUCAGGGAGGUUGUAGAUUUCAAGGUUGCGGAGCAUCACCAGCGAAUAAAACUGGCCGAAGAAGGAAGUCAACCAGCGUAGCUGGGGGAUAUGUUCUUGAUUUGAGAAUCUACAUACAUACGAGAUCUGUCCCAAAUCAAAGCUGAAUUUUUUGUUCUUUUUCCAUAUUUUUGAAUGUUGGACGUGUAUUAUUUCUAUUCAUGAAAGAGAUGCAGGCCAGUGCAGUUCCCUUUGUUUUCUCAACACCUCUCCUUCUACCUUUUCACUACUCUCAGUUGCCAAGGACUUUUGUUUUUUCAUGCUCUGGGAGCAACAUUCUCACAGGAAAAUUACUCCUUUUUUCCGCAAACAUUGUGAAUCAUGAAGGGAGAUUAACUAUUCUUUAAAUCAUUUCUUUACAAUGAUUAUGUAUUCUCACUAGAAAUGGUUUCAUUUCUGUAUUUGCACUCUUUACAUAUUCAACUAAAUCUAAAAAUAUUCUAUUCUGGC